AAAACAAAUACUAGGAGAGAUCUCAAGUAACAUCUAGGAAUCGGAGUCAGCACUUUCACAGGAUUGUGCCUCGCCGCUCUGAUGAGAGGGAAAGGUUCUUUGGACGCUAAUCUAAAUUCUUUAGAAUUACUUUUAUACUUAAUCUUCAUUUGUGACAGCGCAGUUAUUAAUUAUAAUUAUAAUAUUUUUUGUUCCUAAAUUAUUUUAUCAUUGAAAAGUUUGAGCUUCUCUUUUUCCGGAGUCCUCUCCCGGCUUCCAUACCUCGCCGCUCACUCCAAAGCCAAGGCCAUCGCGAUGCGUCCUUCGCCUCUGUUCUAAGGCGGACGAUCCCGGAAGACUCCAUGGCCUGGGAGCUUCUCCUCUGGCUGUACGCCUUCGCCUCUGUGAUUGCUCUCAUCGCCCUGACCGCCUAUCAGCUUGUUAACUUAUCUGAUUUGGAGUUCGACUAUAUCAACCCGUAUGAUUCAUCAUCGUGCAUCAAUGCUGUUGUCGUUCCAGAGUUCAUGGUUCAAGGAAUCUUAUGUGCUUCUUUCCUCCUAACAUGGCAUUGGUUUCCAUUUCUGAUAAUGGCACCCAUCACUUAUUGCCAUGUAAACCUGUUUAUGAAUAGGAGACAUCUUAUAGAUGUUACUGAGAUCUUUAGAUUACUAAAUGGAGAAAAGAAGUUCAGAAUAAUCAAGAUCUCUGUCUACUUCAGCAUAUUCGUGAUAGUCAUUUACAGGCUUGUGAUGUCUGCUGUUCUCUUACUUAUGGAUGAAGGUUUUGGUUCUCUGGAAUCUGGGAUUUUUUAAGAUUCUCGAGUUGAGAUUGUCAGGACUUCCAUGCUUUAUCCUAGAGAAUCCUCAUUUCCUCAUUUACAGAAAUCUGGUAUGUGACUACUGGAGCCACCAUCACUUGGGGGUGUUGUCAGCUAUUUUGUACACUAUUGAGAGAAACAACCAAAAUUGAUGACAGGCCGCAUUUGACAUGGCAAAGUGGGUCUGAUGAAGGUCAGACUUUGUGAUCUGGAACGUUGCAGGCUGCCGCUGGGAGAGGAGGGCCAGCCGGGCGUGUACGGGGCCGAGCGAGGGAUGAUGUUUUGGAGAGAUUCUAAUUUCUCAAAGGGAGAGAUUAUAGAGAAGAGAAGUGGAGGGAUAAGGAAGUAAUUAGCAUCCCCAAUCUCUAAUCUUAUAAUGCUAAGACUGUGUACUGUACAGUAAUUUUUUCGGAGGGAUAUUUAAGGGGCAUAUAUUUGUCUCAAUUAUUUUCGGUAAUCUGGUUGCCGGGUCUGGUACAAAUAGAGGGUAAGGAGCUUGGCUGUAAUUUUGAUGUUCUACAAGGGGUUAUAUAUAAAAGGACCUUGUUAUGUAUGAACUAGUUCCGGCAACGCGCCCGCGGCAACUAGUUGAAAUAUAAGACCGGGUGUUUACUACUCUAUCAAGCACGUUGCAACUGUAAAAACAUCCACAUUCCUUAAAGAUAAUUUGGAAA